GGGCGUGUGGCGUAGUUGGUAGCGCGUUCGCUUAGCAUGCGAAAGGUCUCCGGUUCGAAUCGGACUCGUCCA
rnacentral:tRNA from 1 species